AUCAGUCUGGUCAUUGUUUGACAGGUUUGACUAACAGGUGUCCUUGUUGAGUGGCCUGGUAGGAGCUGAGUGGAGCUCAGUGAAGUGGAGGAGGAGACUCGCUGUAUAUUUAAUCGCCAUUUCGAAGAAGCGCAGACAGUCAUCGGUCGGAGCUCAGAGCUGAUCUGCUGGACUGAACAUACUUUCAGUUCAUAAAGAAUGAAAAGAUUGCUGACAAACUGCUGCUGGAAAUGCCUGCAGUUCCUUCUUCCACUAAAGACCUGGACACUGUCUGAUGGAUGUGGUUGACUGGCUGCUCUUGUUGUCGAAACUGAAGGGGUGACGGAGCUGCGAGGAGGUCGACGAAGGACGGUGUGGAUGCUAUUGCCCAAAUCUGAAGUUCAGUAGACGAACACAAAUGUCCCCAUGCUAAUAAGACCCACGCAAGUAACAUCAGUGACAGAGCAACAAUCAGAACAGGUCCAUAAAACCACAGUAUGUGAGCAUCACUCUGAACUCCAGUUAAUCCAGUAUGGAUGGUUACAGUGUUUCCCUCCAGCUCCUGCAGUCUGACAACCUCUUCUCCAGCUGAGCACAGCAGACCUGAAAGAGAAGUGAGUUCAGCCGUCUGCUGUAUGAAAUGAACAGGUGAGUGAGCUAGAAAAACAACAGAGAAAAUUAAAUGAAUAACCAGCAAUUAAACAAGAGCUGCAGUUACAUGAAGCUACUGGUUUUAUAAAUAAAAAACAGCAUCUGUUUGGAAGUCACUAAAAUCAUUCUUUUAUCUGUAUUAUCUUUGAUCUGAAAAUAAAUUUGUCUUUUUUUUGUUGUAGCCACUGAAACCCUUACUAUUUUAGCUGUUUUUGUAACUGAUUGGUUCUUUAAUGAUAUGUUUAGUCAUUUUAGUUGUACCUUAGAACCUUUAUCAUAGAACUACACACAGUCAGGCUGCCAUUAAUCUGCUCUUUAUUGUUUCAUUUGCAGCUCAGUUAUGACUUGCAUUUAAUUCUUGUGCAAAGCUAAAUAUUAAUGAUUAUUUUACUGUUUAGUUCCUUAUUUUCAAUUAUUUGUUCUCUGUUUUGUUGUUUGGUUGUUGUCAUCAGUUUCAAGGGAAUCACCACAAAAGAGCACAGCAAAAAUAAGAAAAGCAGAAAUAAUCAGAGAACACCAGAAUAGAGCUUUUCAGCUGCUGAAAAAAGGGAAGGAAGAAUUUUGUGGAGGUUGGGGGGGGGGGAUACAGUAUAUCUUAAUAUUGUCUUGAAAUCCCCUUACUUACGUUGUGACAUAGUUCAUCCUUGACCCCCAGCAAUCUCCCAAAAUUCAAAUCUUGAUUGAUUCCUUCAUGAAGCUUCUCCCUUCCUACUAUUUCAUCUGGAACUACUCCCUCAAGAACAUUCUCUAAAGAUUUUUCACAUAUUGUCUCAAAAUGUGAUAAUAGUGAAGAUAAACUAUAAUAACAAAAACAUGUGGAGAAACCAAAAUGUUUAUAAAAAACAAACACAAGUUCUUUUUUAGACUGUUCAGCUCAGCUGUAGCUCAGCACCCACUUUGCCUCACAGUUUCUAGAUUCUUGUCUGGAAGUGGUUGUAAGCAAUUACCAGCCACAAACAUUUGCGUUUGCUUACAUUUCUUCUGAGUAAACAGGAAACUGUCUUGGCAUCCUAUUACAGUACCACACUCGAAUUCAGUGAGCUCUUCAGAAUGACUCAUUCUUUCACAAAUGUUUGUAAAGGCAGGCUGCAUGGCUAGGUGCUUGAUUAUAUACACCUGAAUUCAACGAUUAAGUGGUGUGUCCCAGUUUAUCAUUUUUAUCAAGAGUACAAAUUAAGACUCAUAAGGCUAUGAAAGCGUACUCCACACCUCAGAUGUCCAAUUUUGGUGUUAUAGUACAAAUUGUUGUCUUUUUUAUCUGUUCAAUUUUCUCAGUAACAGCUUCUUAACAGCAUCCAUUCAAACAGUUUUGGUGGUCUUCCGUGUCUUACAUGGUUGUUACCAAUUUUUCUCUGUAUCUAUUUAUAGUUUUGAACUUCAGUUUUGGAAACACCUGUUUUUUUUCAUGUAAUUUUUCACACUUCCCUUUUUAAAUGAAAAUCAAGUGUCUAAUAUCUCUCUUGUGGGUAGCACUUCCUGUAUGACUGACUGUGAGAGCAUCUCUUUCAGUUCUCAUCAUCACACACUGAACUGUCAUCACGUGAGUGAGUGAACAGUGAAGAGCUCUGAACCUGCAUCAGCUUCAUUUAGCCUCAUGGAAUUUCACAGUGAGGACCUUUAUCAUCAUAUCAUCUAAGCUGAUUUUGUUCCUGGAUAGCCAGUCGUGUGUACAAUUGUUAGCUGAUAAAAUCCAGCAAUUUAACACUUGGCCUGACAGAACAGGGGUGCACAACUCCUGUUCUAGAGAGCCAGUCUCCAGCAUAGCUUGGAGGUCUCCUUAAUCAAACACAAUCAAUAAACCUGCAUCCAACAUAUGAGUGUGUUUGAGCAGGUACAUCACCAAACUGUGCUGAACACCAGCCCUAAAAGACUGGAGUUGUUAGAGUGUUAUAAUGUCUCAGUUUCUCUCAAGUAAAUAAUUAGUCCCUCACUGUUCUUUCAUAUCUACUUACUCUUUAUGGUUGAAAUACUUUUUGGAGCACUGAAAGCAGUAGUCAGAGUUUCAUUAAUAGACCUUAUCAUGUAGAAAACAACACUUGGCCUUAACAAAGCUGACAACUAGUUUAGAAAGGUUAGAAAAUGAGCAUCGUAGUAAUAAAGUUCAUGUUUACAUCUUUAGUUCCAAAUAUUAUUUUGUUCAGUGCUGUCAAAUACAUAGAAUACUUAAUAGUUUUGUAAAUCGAAAAGUAGUAGAGAAUCCGUCCUCAAAGAGUGCAUUUACACACAGACAGAAAUAGACACGCUCUCGUGCGACUGUACUACUGAACAAAGCUCACCACUGUACAGAUCAAUGUCCUGCCCCAGAUACAGAAACCCACAAUCUCCAUUAUGAGUUUCAGAGCCACUGAGGGUCUAAAAGCAGUUGAGUUAGACUCAUAAAUCUUACAGUGAUUAUAGCUGCUUUUGCAGAAUUGCCCUCCUUUUUGUCUUUUUAGUGUCUUUGACAAACGAUAGUUGAAGGUUUUUCUCAUGUAAAAUAAAUAUUACAAUUACAUACAAACUUAAAUCAGGCUUUUAAGAGUUGGGUAUUGAUAGGAAGAGUGGAGCUUGUUUUAGAGCAAGCAGUUUGAGGUGUUCACGCCUCUUACCCUCCUUUAACCAACCGCCACUAUGUGAGUCUGUAUAUGUGCAUGUGAUGACUUCUUCAUGUCUUCCGUUCCAUUCUUUACUUUGAACAUCUCUAUUCAAAGGAACAUCAUGAUGAAAACAAGAGUCACACAAAAACUUCCUCAAGCUCAAAUAUAUCAUAAAAGGAUGAACCUGA